rnacentral:tRNA from 1 species
GGAAUAUAGCUCAGUUGGUAGAGUGCUUGCCUCCCAUGCACAAGGACCUGGGUUCAAUCCCAGCACCA